rnacentral:rRNA from 1 species
GAUGAACGCUAGCGGCAGGCCUAAUACAUGCGAGUCGAACGGUGUCUUCGGACAUAGUGGCGCACGGGUGCGUAACACGUAUGCAACCUACCUUACAUUGGGGGAUAGCCUUUCGAAAGGGAGAUUAAUACCGCAUAAGACAGUAGCUGGGCAUCCAGCAGCUGUUAAAGAUUUAUCGAUGUAAGCUGGGCAUGCGUCCAAUUAGCUAGUUGGUGAGGUAACGGCUCACCAAGGCAAUGAUUGGUAGGGGAACUGAGAGGUCAAUCCCCCACACUGGCACUGGGAUACGGGCCAGACUCCUACGGGGGGCAGCAGUAGGGAAGAUUGGGCAAUGGACGCAAGUCUGACCCAGCCAUGCCGCGUGCAGGAUGAAGGCGUUAUGCGUUGUAAACUGCUUUUAUCCAGGAAGAAACGACUCUUGCGAGAGGCAUUGACGGUACUGUAUGAAUAAGCACCGGCUAACUCCGUGCCAGCCGCCGCAGUAACAC